GAUGAACGCUGGCGGCGUGCCUAAUACAUGCAAGUCGAGCGAACAGACGAGGAGCUUGCUCCUCUGACGUUAGCGGCGGACGGGUGAGUAACACGUGGAUAACCUACCUAAGAGACUGGGAUAACUUCGGGAAACCGGAGCUAAUACCGGAUAAUAUAUUGAACCGCAUGGUUCAAUAGUGAAAGACGGUUUUGCUGUCACUUAUAGAUGGAUCCGCGCCGCAUUAGCUAGUUGGUAAGGUAACGGCUUACCAAGGCAACGAUGCGUAGCCGACCUGAGAGGGUGAUCGGCCACACUGGAACUGAGACACGGUCCAGACUCCUACGGGAGGCAGCAGUAGGGAAUCUUCCGCAAAGGGCGAAAGCCUGACGGAGCAACGCCGCGUGAGUGAUGAAGGUCUUCGGAUCGUAAAACUCUGUUAUUAGGGAAGAACAAAUGUGUAAGUAACUAUGCACGUCUUGACGGUACCUAAUCAGAAAGCCACGGCUAACUACGUG
rnacentral:rRNA from 1 species